ACGUAAUUGCUAAUGCCCACGUGACAUAGAACACAUUACAAGUGUGCAGGAGAUUUCAAGGACAAACGCCGCGCUGUGCCUUUGACAAAUUUCUUACAUUCCUGAAUCAAUACCCAGAAUCUCGACAUGGCGAACAUUCGCAUCCUACUGAUUGUUGCCGUCGUUUUUGCAGUCGUCACAAUGUCCAGCUGUCAGUCAACUGUGACAGAUGCUGUUACUACUGCGACUGAUGCUGUUACUACUGUUACUGACUCGGGGGUGACAGGGAAUGCAACUACGGCUGAUCCGUCAUCUGGGGGAGAUGUUCUCCACGCCAGCCUGGGCAUGUUCUGUGCAGCAGUGCUCUUGUCACUUCACUUCUAGGUCAUAGUCACACAUAAGC